AUUGAACGCUGGCGGCAUGCUUUACACAUGCAAGUCGAACGGCAGCACGGGUGCUUGCACCUGGUGGCGAGUGGCGGACGGGUGAGUAAUGCAUCGGAACGUGUCCUGAAGUGGGGGAUAACGCAUCGAAAGAUGUGCUAAUACCGCAUAUUCUCUGAGGAGGAAAGUAGGGGAUCGAAAGACCUUAUGCUUUUGGAGCGGCCGAUGUCUGAUUAGCUAGUUGGUAGGGUAAUGGCUUACCAAGGCGACGAUCAGUAGUUGGUCUGAGAGGACGACCAGCCACACUGGGACUGAGACACGGUCCAGACUCCUACGGGAGGCAGCAGUGGGGAAUUUUGGACAAUGGGCGCAAGCCUGAUCCAGCCAUGCCGCGUGAGUGAAGAAGGCCUCGGUGUAAGCACUUC
rnacentral:rRNA from 1 species